UACGUAGGGUGCAAGCGUUGUCCGGAAUUACUGGGCGUAAAGCGUGCGCAGGCGGUUUUGUAAGUCUGUCGUGAAAUCCCCGGGCUUAACCUGGGAAUGGCGAUGGAGACUGCAAGGCUGGAGUUUGGCAGAGGGGGGUAGAAUUCCACGUGUAGCAGUGAAAUGCGUAGAGAUGUGGAGGAACACCGAUGGCGAAGGCAGCCCCCUGGGUCAAAACUGACGCUCAUGCACGAAAGCGUGGGGAGCAAACAGG
rnacentral:rRNA from 1 species